GGCUGCUUGAGAUAGAUAUGAAUUCUUAGAAGCAAAAAGGAAUGUUUUUGUUUCUUUGGUGUGUGUGUGUGUGUGUGUGUGUGUUUGAGAGAAAGGGGGGAUGGGGUGGGUGAGGGAGAGGGAGAAUCUUAAGCAGGCUCCAUACCCAGCACCCAGCCUGAUGUGGGGAUCGAUUUCAUGACUAUGAGAUCAUGACCUGAGCCAAAACCAAGAGUCAGAAGCUUCACUGACUGAGCCACCCAGGCACCCAAAAAAGGAGUGUUAGAAGGAGUGAACGGUACAGAGAAUUAAAUGCUGCUAAGGUUAUUUUUAAUGUCAACAUUCAAUAACUAAUUAUGGAAUGGUAAAUAACUUUAUCUGGUUUUGAAACAUUAAAUGGUAUUUCUGCCUUCUUAAUUAUUAAGCUGAUGAAAAUACUAUAUGUUGAAUUAGGACCUGAUUUACCAAAUACAGUUUUUUUAAACAUUGAAGAGAAAGACGUGGUUUCUUUUAGAAAGUUUCUGUUUUAAAAUACAGUCUGGAGAUACAUAAAGAAGGGAGAAGCACUGGCAGAUGCUGAACAUAAUGGCCCUCGUCUCGUAACAGACAAGAAGUGUAAGCUCCCUUAACAGGCUGUUAUUUGGGAACUAACCAACAGACACUGUGUGAGGCUCUUCUACAAGCUGAAUAUCUGAAGAUGUUAAAACCUCCCUGUGGGAUUGGCCUUCUUUUUUCUUAAUUUUGAGAUGGAAAAACACUGUUUUGAAUUUCUUCUUCGCUCCAGUUGGCCAGCUUGGUUGAAAAAAGGAGCGAUGUUUCCAGCCUCAUGGAUGAUCCAAGGAAGUUAUCCGCAGCUUUCAGGAAGAAGCUGGAGCCAGUGGAAAUGUUACAACCCUGAAAGGGGAAUAAUGGAACAGGACUGAAGCUUUUAGGAUUAUAGCACUACCUCCCAUACAACUGAAAGGAAAUGGAUAACUAUGUGUGGAAACAGAGAGGCAGUGGUGACCAGUGUGCUCCAGACCUUGUCCUUUGUGCUGCUGCCUCUGGGCCAUGGAGUCCCAGCAAACACCUCAUACAGGUUUUUAAUAUUCUUCACUCCAAAAGACCUUGAUCAUAGUAAUUUCCACGUUCUGCUUACAAGUGGUUACACUCUUCAAGACUUCAAACUUCUCAUCCUUCACCUGCCCAGACCAACUCUUGGUCAAAAACAUAAAGGAAAUCCUCAUGAAGACUUCUGGGACCAAACUUUGGGAUAGCCUACUAUUUUCCAGUAGUAUAUUCUGCAAAUUUCAGCUGCUUUUGAAAACUAAAUUCCAAUGGUUGUGCCCUCAGCUCAGAAAAACUACCUCUAUUUCUGCUUGACUUACAUUUUUUGGCCAUAGUUUUGAGUGCAUUAAUGUUGACAUCCAGACUGAAGGUAAGGCCCUCCUGAUUUGUCUCCCUCCUAUCAAGCUUCAGAGUUAUACACUACCUGUUUUCCUACACUUAAAAAAAAGAUUUGCCUUACAUAUGUGGUCAAGUUUUAUGGUUGUUUACUGUGUUAGAGUUAAGUCCAGCACCAGUACCUCCAAAAUGUGCUGAAGCAAAACUGUCAUUAAUUAAAAUGUUAUCUUACUAGUUUAAAGUCUAAUAAUUGCAUUGUGUAAUCUUCAUUUUAUUGUUUCAAUCCC
ensembl:lncRNA